AGUGAACGCUGGCGGUAGGCCUAACACAUGCAAGUCGAACGGCAGCACAGUAAGAGCUUGCUCUUACGGGUGGCGAGUGGCGGACGGGUGAGGAAUACAUCGGAAUCUACUUUUUCGUGGGGGAUAACGUAGGGAAACUUACGCUAAUACCGCAUACGACCUACGGGUGAAAGCAGGGGAUCUUCGGACCUUGCGCGAUUGAAUGAGCCGAUGUCGGAUUAGCUAGUUGGCGGGGUAAAGGCCCACCAAGGCGACGAUCCGUAGCUGGUCUGAGAGGAUGAUCGGCCACACUGGAACUGAGACACGGUCCAGACUCCUACGGGAGGCAGCAGUGGGGAAUAUUCGACAAUGGGCGAAAGCCUGAUGCAGCCAUGCCGCGUGGGUGAAGAAGGCCUUCGGGUUGUAAAGCCCUUUUAUUGGGGAAGAAAAGCAGUAUGUGAAUCCCCCGCUGUUCUGACGGUACCCAAAGAAUAAGCACCGGCUAACUUCGUG
rnacentral:rRNA from 1 species